UAUCUUUAUUUAUCAUGCACUUUUUUGAUUAACAACUUUGCAGAUUGUUUUCAUUUAAGGAUAGCUACAUUAUAAACUGCAAAAGAGAGAUUUUUCAAAAUCCCAUAUGACCUGCUCUUUAAAUGAAGCCACACUCUCUGGUCCCUUUAGUAUACUAUAUAACAGAGUAAGGUAACACGUAUACAUAACCUGUACCUUGAGACUCAAAGCACUGAGGUGGGGGACCAAGAUCCUUUCCUCCUUAAGUCUUCCGAGGUAAAAUUAAUUUCCCCUACUAAGCGGGCCCUAAUUUACCCGUUACACAAAGCCACAAGACACCUAAACUACAAGUGCUAAAAAUCCAUCCAAAUGACAGACAUACAGCACAAUCACUCUCAGUCUGGCAGAUUCUUCCUGUUUAUGUGGCCACAUCUUGGGCACAUGCAAUAUUACACAUGCAAUAAGAUGUAGUUAUGGUAGAUCAUUGUAGAUCUCUUUUGAUUUUUUACUCAAACUUAGGGCUGAAAGUCACUGUGAUGUUUGACACGACGAUGAAAGGAUUUUCUGAGCUUCUCGACACUCAUUUUCAGUCUUCAGGUUGGUCUGGGAGAAUCAGAAGAGCCCUGUUCUUGUGUUCAGAUCAGUGAAACAUCUCAACAUCUCUUAACUCUCAUUAUUUCAGCUCAUUCACUUGGUUUAUUGAUAAUGUUUCUGUAUUUUGUGUAAAUAUAAUGCAGCUUAUGGUAUAAUAAAAAGCAAAUCUGUGCCAAAUUAUAUGAUUUUAAAUUAAAAUUAUUCUUAAAUACCAUGAAAUGUUAUGUUAAGAUGGAUGUUUAAUGUGUUUUAGCAGGAACUCGGAUAUUGUUUCUCAGAUAUUUUGCUCCAAAACCCAGUGAUAUGCCUGAAUAGUCAACAUUACAGAAAGAAGCUGUCUAUGUAGGGAGUGAACAGAGCUAGUGUUCACUGAGUGUCCGGCAGGUGGUGCCAAAUAUCCAUUAUUGGAUUAUUUUUAGUGAGAAUGAAAAGUUUUUGAACCAUCUAGCAUUGUUUCUCUGCUCGUGUCUGCUGUUUUUGUGCGUUAUAAUAUGUGUUUGCCGUGUUCAGUGAGCUGUAGCUGUAAACACUGAAAUAAGUUUAGCCUAUUCUCAGUUCUGUUAUAUUCGUUUAAUGUUUGAUUAAUGAACUGUUGCUCAUUCUUGUUCUCAGCUAAAAAAAAAAAAACAAGAACAUAGUAAUACCAAUGGCGUUUGUCAGGAAAGAAGUAGCCUCUUCUACAAACCAUGUGAUGAUGAUGAUGAUGAUGAUGAUGAUGACGAUGAUGAUGAUGAUGAUGAUGAGGACGUCGCUGCAGUGCAGAGGAUUUAAGCCCUUGAAACCGAAAGUAAAGCUGAACAGCAGCUCGACUCCUGAAACCAUCUUCAUGAUUAGAUUCAGUGAAAAUGGCGACGAGAUCUGAAUCACUUCCUGAGCUGUCAGUGGUCAGCUCGAGUCCAGGUGAUCCAGAGAUCUGGAUUCUUCUGACGGGGCUCGUCUGGAAACACUAUACUGAAGCUGGGGUUUGUGAGGAGAAAACAUGGGUUGAUGUGAAGCAGCUGAAUGUGACUUCACUGAUGAAGGUUGUGUUAUCAACUAACUGUGGAUGUGUGGAUGAUCACACAAGGAUCAGGUGGUGAUUGGAGAGAGUAACAUCACGUGGAACCGAAAGUGAAACUGAACAACUCUGAACAGCAGCUCGACUCCUGGAGAGAUUAUAUUUCCCGCAACUAUGUGUUUUAUGCACAUAUGUUGCUUUUUAGUUAUGAUGAUACAUAACAAAUAUAAGAUCUCCAUGGGCUCUGUUACGCUGUGAACAGAUUCAGUGAAAAUGGCGACUAGAACUGAAACACUUCCUGUCAGCAAUCAGCAGCUCCAGUCCAGAUGAUCGAGUGAUCCGGAUUCUUCUGAUGGGCAGAACGAGGUCUGGGAAAGGCUGAUCUGGAAACACAAUACUGGGAGAAAACAGGUUUAAAGAUUACAUAAAACAGAAGAAUAAAAAAAUGAGGCUGAAGUUUGUGAUGAAGUCACUCAGAAGUGGAUUGAUGUGACUGAUUGUCCAGGUCCAGAUCCUAAUAAAGAGAAGCUGAAGAUGAUGAAAGAGCAGCUGGUCUCAUAAUGAAUUCUGUCAAGAGGAGAUUGUGAGUGAAUUAGAAAUGUGCAUAACGUUCUCCUGGACCUCACGCUUUUCUCAUCAUCAUUAAAGUGGAGCGAUUCACUUGGGAAAAUAAAAACAUGAAGAAACUCAAAAGAAAUGUUUGGAGAACAGAGACUCAUGCUUUAAAAACAGCAAGGACAAUUCACGCACCUGAAAUUGACCAAGAAAUUGGUUUGACACGUUAUGUGGGUCAGCUGGAAAGCAUGGACUGGAAUAUUUCUGGACUAAGGCAUUCAAAUUUAAUUGCUUGUUCACAAAUCUAAAAAUGUGGAUCAGUCAGUGACAGAAUGCCAUUCCAUGGCCCCACUUUCAUUCUUAAUUAAAUGUUAUCUCUCAUGCAUUUCAUGUGGUGAUUCUUUAUGUGUGUGUUUUCAGACAGCGGUAAUGUCAAACCACAGAACCAACGAAACUCCUGUUUAUAGUCUGUGUGCGUAAAAGAGCUCUGCAAGUGUUGCUCGUGCUGCAUUAAAAGGAAUUAUUUUCUUUCAUGAAGGUCACUGGAACAUAUUUUGAAUUGUUUAUAAGUUUAAUUAUGAUUGAAAGUUUUCUAUUGAUUGUGAAGGAUUUUCUGAUUAGCAUGGUUUAUGUCAUAAAAAUACAUAACAUUUGGAAAACAUCAGCACAAGAAUUAAUUAAUUAAGGAGGUAGAAAAUAAUAGAAAUAGGAAUUUAAUGCAACAAACUGCUAAAAUGAGUGUUGUUUAUCGUGGCAUGUAACAUGUUCUUGGUUUUUGUUUCUAGUUUAAGAUCCAUGUCUUGUUUUACCCUGUUAUGUGUUCAAGGACUUUUAUGUUUAAGUGGAUUUUCUGUUCCCAUUGUUUCUGUGUCCUCUCCCUGUGUUUUGUUCUUGUUCCUUUGCCUAGGUUGUUAGUUGUCAUAGUGAUUAUUUAACUCCUCCCCCUUGUUAGUUUGUUAAGUUAUAACCCUGUGUUUAACUGUUUUUUUGUUUUGUUUUCGUUGUCUGAUAUUGUCCUUAAUGGCUGUUACGUGUGCCCAUGUAAUUGCCUUGUUCUUGCAAAGUCUUUGCCCUGUUUCUUGCCAUGCCUGGAUUUAGUUUGUGUUUGUUUAAAUAAAUCUUUUCUACUGCA